rnacentral:rRNA from 1 species
AGCGAACGCUGGCGGCAGGCCUAACACAUGCAAGUCGAACGAACUCUUCGGAGUUAGUGGCGGACGGGUGAGUAACACGUGGGAACGUGCCUUUAGGUUCGGAAUAACUCAGGGAAACUUGUGCUAAUACCGAAUGUGCCCUUCGGGGGAAAGAUUUAUCGCCUUUAGAGCGGCCCGCGUCUGAUUAGCUAGUUGGUGAGUUAAAGGCUCACAAAGGCGACGAUCAGUAGCUGGUCUGAGAGGAUGAUCAGCCACAUUGGGACUGAGACACGGCCCAAACUCCUACGGGAGGCAGCAGUGGGGAAUCUUGCGCAAUGGGCGAAAGCCUGACGCAGCCAUGCCGCGUGAAUGAUGAAGGUCUUAGGAUUGUAAAAUUCUUUCACCGGGGACGAUAAUGACGGUACCCGGAGAAGAAGCCCCGGCUAACUUCGUGCCAGCAGCCGCCGUAA